AUUGAACGCUGGCGGCAGGCCUAACACAUGCAAGUCGAGCGGAUGAAGGGAGCUUGCUCCUGGAUUCAGCGGAGGACGGGUGAGUAAUGCCUAUGAAUCUGCCUGGUAGUGGGGGAUAACGUCCGUAAACGGGCGCUAAUACCGCAUACGUCCUGAGGGAGAAAGUGGGGGAUCUUCGGACCUCACGCUAUCAGAUGAGCCUAGGUCGGAUUAGCUAGUUGGUGGGGUAAAGGCCUACCAAGGCGACGAUCCGUAACUGGUCUGAGAGGAUGAUCAGUCACACUGGAACUGAGACACGGUCCAGACUCCUACGGGAGGCAGCAGUGGGGAAUAUUGGACAAUGGGCGAAAGCCUGAUCCAGCCAUGCCGCGUGUGUGAAGAAGGUCUUCGGAUUGUAAAGCACUUUAAGUUGGGAGGAAGGGCAGUAAGUUAAUACCUUGCUGUUUUGACGUUACCAACAGAAUAAGCACCGGCUAACUUCGUG
rnacentral:rRNA from 1 species